rnacentral:rRNA from 1 species
UACGGGGGGAGCAAGCGUUGUUCGGAUUUACUGGGCGUAAAGGGCGCGUAGGCGGCCAGCACAAGUCAGUUGUGAAAUCUCCGGGCUUAACUCGGAAAGGUCAACUGAUACUGUGCGGCUAGAGUGCAGAAGGGGCAACUGGAAUUCUCGGUGUAGCGGUGAAAAUGCGCAGAUAUCAGGAGGAACACCGGUGGCGAAGGCGGGUCUCUGGGCCGAUACUGACGCUGAGGAGCGAAAGCGUGGGGAGCGAACAGG